UGCAAGUCGAGCGGACAGAUGGGAGCUUGCUCCCUGAUGUUAGCGGCGGACGGGUGAGUAACACGUGGGUAACCUGCCUGUAAGACUGGGAUAACUCCGGGAAACCGGGGCUAAUACCGGAUGGUUGUUUGAACCGCAUGGUUCAAACAUAAAAGGUGGCUUCGGCUACCACUUACAGAUGGACCCGCGGCGCAUUAGCUAGUUGGUGAGGUAACGGCUCACCAAGGCGACGAUGCGUAGCCGACCUGAGAGGGUGAUCGGCCACACUGGGACUGAGACACGGCCCAGACUCCUACGGGAGGCAGCAGUAGGGAAUCUUCCGCAAUGGACGAAAGUCUGACGGAGCAACGCCGCGUGAGUGAUGAAGGUUUUCGGAUCGUAAAGCUCUGUUGUUAGGGAAGAACAAGUACCGUUCGAAUAGGGCGGUACCUUGACGGUACCUAACCAGAAAGCCACGGCUAACUACGUGCCAGCAGCCGCGGUAAUACGUAGGUGGCAAGCGUUGUCCGGAAUUAUUGGGCGUAAAGGGCUCGCAGGCGGUUUCUUAAGUCUGAUGUGAAAGCCCCCGGCUCAACCGGGGAGGGUCAUUGGAAACUGGGGAACUUGAGUGCAGAAGAGGAGAGUGGAAUUCCACGUGUAGCGGUGAAAUGCGUAGAGAUGUGGAGGAACACCAGUGGCGAAGGCGACUCUCUGGUCUGUAACUGACGCUGAGGAGCGAAAGCGUGGGGAGCGAACAGGAUUAGAUACCCUGGUAGUCCACGCCGUAAACGAUGAGUGCUAAGUGUUAGGGGGUUUCCGCCCCUUAGUGCUGCAGCUAACGCAUUAAGCACUCCGCCUGGGGAGUACGGUCGCAAGACUGAAACUCAAAGGAAUUGACGGGGGCCCGCACAAGCCGGUGGAGCAUGUGGUUUAAUUCGAAGCAACGCGGAAGAACCUUAUACCCAGGUCUUGACAUCCUCUGACAAUCCUAGAGAUAGGACGUCCCCUUCGGGGGCAGAGUGACAGGUGGUGCAUGGUUGUCGUCAGCUCGUGUCGUGAGAUGUUGGGUUAAGUCCCGCAACGAGCGCAACCCUUGAUCUUAGUUGCCAGCAUUCAGUUGGGCACUCUAAGGUGACUGCCGGUGACAAACCGGAGGAAGGUGGGGAUGACGUCAAAUCAUCAUGCCCCUUAUGACCUGGGCUACACACGUGCUACAAUGGACAGAACAAAGGGCAGCGAAACCGCGAGGUUAAGCCAAUCCCACAAAUCUGUUCUCAGUUCGGAUCGCAGUCUGCAACUCGACUGCGUGAAG
rnacentral:rRNA from 1 species